GGAGUUUCCUAUCGCUUCAUCCUCCUUUUUAUAGGAUUUGGACUACCUCUGAAUGCUGAUUAAUCUUUUCUAGUUGUACUCCUAUUUGACUACAUCUGAAUGUAUUAUAUAUAUAUUUAAAUGUUUGCUUGUUGUUAAUCCAGAACAUCCUUUUAUAUUUUUUUUUGAAUAGAUGCCUCCUGAAAGGCAUUCUCAUUUUUGUUGCUGUUAAUUUCUAGUUGCAGGAUCAAUCAACUUGUGUUUAUGUUUUCCCCACUAUUGGCAUCCAACAAACUGGUGCACAACACUGGCUUGUGCUCGCCUAUGGCAACUCGCGAACAGAGUGAUGAUGAUAGUGACUCACGCAGUUAAAGAAGCAUGUGGUUUUCCAGCAGUGACUAUGUGCAGCUAUGCUCUUGAUAGUGAAUGCAACAAUCUACUCUUUCCGUUCCAAAUUAUAGGUCGUUUGACUUUUUUGACACCAAGUUUGACCACUCGUCUUAUUCAAAAAAUUUAUGAAAACAUAGUCAAAUUUAACUCAUUCUUGAAGAACUUGUAUUGAUGAAGUAAGCCACAACAAAAAAAUUGAUAUUUUGCAUAAAUUUUUGAAUAAGACGAAUGGUCAAACUUGGGGGUGAAAAAAGUCAAACGAUCUAUAAUUUGGAACGGAGGGAGUAUAUGCUGCUACCUACUAUCGAACAGGUGCAUGGAUGUGUUACGACAUCGGAGAAGAUAAAACCAUUUUGGCAACUGUUGUGAAUGCCAAUCUCGACCUGCAAAGCAAGAACCAUGCUCAAAUUAUGUUGAGGCGGCUUGACAUCCGAAGAUAUUUGCAGCUCUGCAGCUCUUAUUUGUUUCAAGUGAUGUGAAGUGGCAAAUACAAUCUGAUGAAUCUAUUUGGUGCCGGAGUUUCUGUUGUGAUCCUAUGAAACUUUGUUAGCUUUUGAUCAACGACCUAUGUAACUUUGAUAGCUUCUGAUAGCUAUGAACCCAGAGAUGCAGAGUCCAUGCACAAGUUCAGUCUGUUUCUAUUUUCUAAUCUGGCUAUUUUUAACUGUUGAACCAAAUUUAGAAUAUGAUGUUUUUCCCACCAAUGGUGUUUCAA